ACAAAACUUUCAACAACGGAUCUCUUGGCUCUCGCAUCGAUGAAGAACGCAGCGAAAUGCGAUAAGUAAUGUGAAUUGCAGAAUUCAGUGAAUCAUCGAAUCUUUGAACGCACCUUGCGCCCUCUGGUAUUCCGGAGGGCAUGCCUGUUUGAGUGUCAUGUAGACUCA
rnacentral:rRNA from 1 species